UAAACGACUCUCGGCAACGGAUAUCUCGGCUCUCGCAUCGAUGAAGAACGUAGCGAAAUGCGAUACUUGGUGUGAAUUGCAGAAUCCCGUGAAUCAUCGAGUCUUUGAACGCAAGUUGCGCCCGAAGCCAUUAGGCCGAGGGCACGCCUGCCUGGGCGUCACAC
rnacentral:rRNA from 1 species